GCAUCCACAUUUGGUAGCACAAAUACUAAAAUUGGAAAGGUAUAGAGAAGAUUAUUGUGGCUGUUGCUUAAAGAUGAUAUGAACAUUCACGAAGUGUUCCAUGUUUCU